UACAGAGGUCCCAAGCGUUACUGAGAAUCACUGGGUUUAAAGGGUGCGUAGGUGGUCCGUUAAGUCAGUUGUGAAAUCCCCGGGCUCAACCCGGGAACUGCUUCUGAUACUGGCGGACUUGAGGCCAGUAGGGGUCACUAGAACUGACGGUGGAGCGGUGAAAUGCGUAGAUAUCAAGUGGAACACCAGUGGCGAAGGCGAGUCCCUGGACAACACCUGACACUGAGGCACGAAAGCUAGGGGAGCAAACAGG
rnacentral:rRNA from 1 species